rnacentral:lncRNA from 1 species
CAGCACCCUGCAGGCUAGAAGCAAUUUCACUGAGUGCAUAGCUAAGGAAAGAGAGAGCUUUUGAAAAUAUUUACAACUUACACUAAAGAGUACUCAGAGGUCUGUAAGACAUUAAUUCAACACCCUUGUAUAUAAAUAUUAUCAAUGCAUAGUUUAAAAUAUGCAAUUUUUUUUUGCCUUACAGCAUUAUUUGGUCUAUGAAAUUGAACUGCAUUAAGUAUCAGUGAGGGCUGUGUACUAGAUACAGGAUCAAACUGAUGAAAUACCCCUGAAUGAGUCAUUCAACACAACCUUUGUUGUCAACAGGGAGAAAUAAUCACCUUGGAGCACAGUUCAUGUCACCCUAAAGUGGAGACUCAUGAGAUUCGCUGAUAUAUCUCAUAGUCACUGGAAAACAUUUUCUUCUUCCCUUGACCCUCUUCCAGAGCUUUUCCUGUGAGAAGUCACAGCAGCAUGCCAGCACACUGAGCAGAAAGGAGUGCAUUAUAUACGGCCAGAAACAAGACAAGUUAAACUGAAAAUUCAAGAGAGCACAGCAGGAUGCACGCGCCAGAUUGCUCAGGGACUAAACAGUUAUUUUAAGCAAUGCUGAAUGGUUCCAACAUUUGGCAGGUGUAUUUGUUGUGGUACAUCUGCUUUUGUUAACAAAACUGUAUUUGUAAAAUAAUCCAGAGGAACUUUGUGUCCAUAUACCAUAAAAUCUUACUGUUUUAUAGUUCCUGA